rnacentral:rRNA from 1 species
UACGUAGGGGGCAAGCGUUGUCCGGAAUUACUGGGCGUAAAGGGCUUGUAGGCGGCCAACUAAGUCCGACGUGAAAUCCCCAGGCUUAACCUGGGAACUGCGUCGGAUACUGGAUGGCUUGAAUUCGGGAGAGGGAUGCAGAAUUCCAGGUGUAGCGGUGAAAUGCGUAGAUAUCUGGAGGAAUACCGGUGGCGAAGGCGGCAUCCUGGACCGACAUUGACGCUGAGGAGCGAAAGCUAGGGGAGCAAACGGG